GCAUGUUUUGUUGUUAAUGAGAAACCUCACUGUCAACUUGUCUAGCCCUGAAUUUGAGCCGAUGUUGGGCAGAAGAGGAUGUGGAUCCUUCGUUGUUCCCACGUCGCCAGGAGAAAGAGAAAACAUUGAAUGGAUCUUUAGAAGAAUUGGACAACUUUAACUCGGUUUGGCCCUAAUUUUAGACUAGGUUUAUGUUUAUAUUUAGGCAAUUCUGAUAGUGGUUAGCUACAAGAGCAGAUUGUUUUAUACACCUUUAGUGUAUGCUACAGUACAGAUUUUACAGGUUUUCUUUUUUUCAAUAGUAUUUGUUUUGAAUUAUAGUUGAUGUAUCAAUACACUUUGUUGAUGUAUGGUUGUUACUUAUUA